CAAUAGCGUAUAUUAAAGUUGUUGCGGUUAAAAAGCUCGUAGUUGGAUUUCGGCGGACAGGGGGCGGUUCGAUAUUUGUCGCUACUGCCCCAUUUGUCCGUGUUUUUGGCGGAGGUUUCAGGGUGCUCUUCACCGAGUGUCCUGGAUGCCGUCAGGUUUACUUUGAAAAAAUUAGAGUGCUCAAAGCAGGCUUUACACGCUUGAAUAUUCGUGCAUGGAAUAAUGGAAUAGGACGUCGUUUCUAUUUUGUUGGUUUUCGGAAAUCGACGUAAUGAUUAACAGGGACAGUCGGGGGCAUUAGUAUUCAGACGACAGAGGUGAAAUUCUUGGACCGUCUGAAGACUAACUACUGCGAAAGCAUUUGCCAAGAAUGUUUUCAUUAA
rnacentral:rRNA from 1 species